CAUGUCCUUUAUGAUUUAUAAUUUAAGGUCUAGUCUGCCCACUGAUUAAAAUUGAAGGGCCGCGGUAUUUUGACCGUGCAAAGGUAGCAUAAUCAUUAGUUCUUUAAUUGGGAACUGGAAUGAAUGGCUGGACGAGGGAGUGACUGUCUCUGUUUUAAUUUUUUAAAAUUUUAUUUUUGAGUUAAAAAGCUUAAAUUUUUAUAAAAGACGAGAAGACCCUAUAGAGUUUUAUAAUUUUUUUUAGAUUUAUUAUUAAGAAUUUAAUUUUGUUUUAUAAAAUUUUAUUUUAUUGGGGUGAUAAAAAGAUUAGUUAAACUCUUUUUUUAUUUUAACAUUAAUUUAUGAAUUUUUGAUCCUUUUUUUUUGAUUAUAAGAAUAAAUUACCUUAGGGAUAACAGCGUAAUCUUUUUAUAGAGUUCUUAUCGACAGAAGGGAUUGCGACCUCGAUGUUGGAUUAAAGUUAAGUUUUGGUGUAGAAGCUAAAAAUUUUAAGUCUGUUCGACUUUUAAAACUUUACAUGAUCUGAGU
rnacentral:rRNA from 1 species